UCAUUAAACUAAACAAUUAUGACAUUGUGAAUUCAUCAGAGUAAGGCCAAAGCCCUCUGUGCCAAGGCCAAAGAAAACUUGGUGGAUACAAGCAUUGCCUAGAGCACUGGUUCUUAAUCUUUGUUACUCAGAUGUUUUUGGACUGCAACUCCAAACCUCUGGCUGAGGUUUCUGGGAGUUGCAGUUCAAAAACACCUGAGUAACAAAGGUUAAGAACCACUGGCCUAAAGCAUAUAGCAGUUUGUAAAGGUAUCUGUGGUGACUUCUAUGACCUCACAAAGCUUUUCAGCCUGACUUGGUUGACUGUGGCUGUUACCAUAUGGAAAUAUUAUUGGUUCUUCUGGCACCUGAAGUCUGCUGCUUUGAUGGGAUUCCCCCUGAUCAAUGACAACUACAGAAGUAACAGAUCGUGAGGUGUAUGGAUUGUACGCACUACUGAAUCCUUGCCAUGCCACUUUCUGGUUUCUUCAAGCUACUCUGAAUUGUAUUCUCCAUCAAAAAUGCCGCUUAGGACUUACAGUUACUGGAGACAUUUAAAACAGACUUGCUUGUCAGUUCACUCCAUGAGGAUGGAGUGUAUAUGGAAUCAAACCAGAAAGAAGGAACAGAGCUUUGAUCUUCGGAGUUCUCCAGCUGCAUAGACACUUCUUUUCUCAGACUCAUCUGCAUCAUUUGCCUACUCUUCAGAAGGAUUGGAAAUGAUUAUUGUAACACAUACCAGAUAGAACUGGACUUGGACAUGCAACAAAAUCAGCAACAAGAGGGCUGCUUGAAGAGCACCAGAUCUUAAGAUUACCGUAGGUCUCUGCUUCUGUGUCACUUACAUGCUUCCUAGUGGAACUCUUUUCAGGUCAGUUCUAUGGUUGUGAUGCCCUUUGCCAUGAUCUUCUCUCACCCUGGUUUUCUCCUGCUGAGGCAGGUUGUACUUGCCUUCAUCAUCUGAGCAGGACUCAGCUAGGAGAGCCAUGACAUUUAAUCCUCUCAAACUGCAUGGAAUAGAGUAGUCUAGAUGAGGAAGGGGUUACUUUGUGUGCCACCACCUUUGGCUUCCACUUCU
rnacentral:lncRNA from 1 species